rnacentral:rRNA from 1 species
AGCGAACGCUGGCGGCAGGCUUAACACAUGCAAGUCGAGCGGGCAUAGCAAUAUGUCAGCGGCAGACGGGUGAGUAACGCGUGAGAACGUACCUUUUGGUUCGGAACAACACAGGGAAACUUGUGCUAAUACCGGAUAAGCCCUUACGGGGAAAGAUUUAUCGCCGAAAGAUCGGCCCGCGUCUGAUUAGCUAGUUGGUGGGGUAAAGGCCCACCAAGGCGACGAUCAGUAGCUGGUCUGAGAGGAUGAUCAGCCACAUUGGGACUGAGACACGGCCCAAACUCCUACGGGAGGCAGCAGUGGGGAAUAUUGGACAAUGGGGGCAACCCUGAUCCAGCCAUGCCGCGUGAGCGAUGAAGGCCCUAGGGUUGUAAAGCUCUUUUGUGCGGGAAGAUAAUGACGGUACCGCAAGAAUAAGCCCCGGCUAACUUCGUGCCAGCAGCCGCGGUAA